ensembl:lncRNA
CCCGCCCCGCUCCCGGCAGCCGGCGGAGGCGGGGCCAGCGCCGGGCGGGCCCUGGGCUGCGCUGAGCGGGGCCAGCAGCGCCCGAGGUAUUUCCCGCUCCCUCCCUCUCUCCUCCGCGCCCUUCCGCCCUCACUCACGCGGCGCGGUGGGAGGGGACGGUGGCGGGGGCCGGUCCUGCGGCACCUCCCGGGGCCGCCCGGGCAGGGAGGGCCCGCCCCUGCUCCCCCCGCAGCUGAGGGCCGGGAGGCGGCGGCCCCGCAGCGCUCGCCCCGGUGGCGGGAGGGGCCGCACCGCCGCUCGGCGCGGUGCCCGGGGCAGGGAGGUGAUGAUUAACCUGCGGGCCAUCGAAUACCUGCCUAAAGUCGCGCCCAGGGUGGGGUUUAACCUUGUGCGAGGCUCGGUGCCUCCCGUGUGAUUCUGCCCGAGAGCCUGCAGCGACCAGUUCUGCUGCUGCCGCCGAAGCGCUGCGGGGAUGCGCAGCUCCCUGUUGAAAAUCUCUGCUCUAAAUCUCAACCUAGAGCUCGCCUCGCAGUCGUUUUUGGCGGUUUCAGGCUCAAGAGGUCGAGAUGAUGGUGGGGUCUCGGCGAGCGUCUCUGCACCAGCAGCCUCGGGCUGCAGUUGCUCGAGUAUUUGUGGCCGGCGCUUGAAUCCAUGCUGGCCCCUUUUCCUCGAGCUGAGCUGCAAGGAGCCCGGCAGCUGCGGCAUUUAGUUCAGUUACUUCAGAUGAUCUGUAAAUUUUCAAUAAUGGCAAUACAUUCAUUCUGCCAUUUGGAGGAGCCUGUGCCACAGAAUAAUGAUCUGAAGAAAGCUCACUUAUUUGCAAGGAAGAGUCUUCAUUUGGGAAUUAGUAUUGAUGCAGCUCAAGGGUGCUUUUUCAAGUCCAGGUCCUUGACAUUCAGUGGGAUGAGAAUCUCAGAACUGACUACUGGGGACUCCCAGGCUACAGAUCAGGAGGAGAGUCUGUUGCUUUGUCUGCAAUACAGGUAUGGGAGUUUGAGGGUCUUCCAAGAGAGGAUAUUUCAUUCCUGA